GCUGCUAUUUCAUUUCCUGGGAGCUGUCUCUCCAGAACUAGUCCUGAGCUGCUGGGGCACUCCAAAAAUGCAGAAGUACCAAGAGAAAAUCAGACUUGAAUGGAAGCAUAUUUCUCUUUAUAAGGAUAGAUUUCUAGAAAGCAACAUGCUCAGCUGGGUGCAACCACAAAAUCUCCCCAGGAAGACAUCUUUUUCUAUCUGCUGAAUGUGCAGUGAUCCACUUCAUCACACAAUCAAAAAGGUGUUCAGAAGAAUAAUGUCAACUGUUAUUCAUAUUCUUCCUUUGUAUGGAUGGAGUUUCUCACUGAUCUAGAAACGUAGGUUAUGCUUGAGUUAUAAGGAGCACAACAGCACUAGUACUGCAAAUUUAACCUCGACACCAGAGCUGGCUCACUGUCUGCUGUUUGAGGAGGGAAAAUCAAAUGGAUAUAAUGGACUGUGUAUGACCUUUUUGCACCAGAAAAGAGAAAGAAAGGUUUCAACAGGGAGCAACAGCAAGCACAAAGACAGGAAGAAAAAGGGGGCUGAAUCUUUUUUUGGUCCUGGAGCAGAACACCCUGAAAACUGGGGGAAAGCUCCCUGAAACCAUGCUCAGUGAGCAGGAAACACAACCUUGUCCUUUGUAGUUGGCCAAGAACUGCAACCAGGAAAGGACUAACAAAGCAACAUAAGCAGGGCAGAGGAACAAGUCUGACUCUGUCUCUCCAAGCAACCCAUGCUUGUUUUCAACUUUUUUUUCACUAUGGCUCUUCACACUGACAGCAGUUCCUGCUGAUUUAGUAACUCUGCAGGACAGCCAUGACUUGGACCUGCCUAUCUAUCAUUAAAUCCCACCAACUGGUAAAUUUUCUUGCAACAUAGCCCUAGUAUUCCAUUAUAGGUCUUGUUUCUAGCCAAGCAUAGUGAGUGUUUAUUUCUGUUAGAUUCAACUCUAGAGAAAAUGCUCAACUGAAGCAUCCUUGCAAGGAUCUGAGAAACUUACUGUGAGGAAAAUUUACAAAAUCUCAAAUUUACACAAAGCUUGUGGAGGUCACCUAGGACACUUCAGUCUAAUAACUCUGUGAUGAUUGUGUCUCUUUGCUUAUUAUGCAGUUCCUAUUCACUAUAUCAUAGAGUUUUCACUUUGAGAUCUGCAGAUAAAGUUAUUUACAUGUUAAACAUUUCAGCCUUCCAGCAUGGAAAUGACUGGAAGACUAGGUAGCUAUUAUUGUGUUUUGACACACAGAUGAGAACAUUUCUUCAAGCUGAGAAGGCAGUUGCAAAUCACUUGCCUUCUUUUUUUUCUCUAGACUCAGGUGAGCAGAUUUGCAUUAUUGUUCACUCUUGGAUAUUUUAAUUUUCAAACCACUGCACUUGAAAUUUUAAAUAACCUUUUUGUCAUGGUGGGAAUUGACUUAGAUUGUUGGGUUACUUAUAAUUUAAGUAAAGUUCAAAUCACACUGGCAGGCAAGUGUGUUUAAGCAUAACCAUCUGUGACAAAAAAAAGCUUGGCAGUUACUGCCACAUAAGGCAGCAAACAUGGUAAAAAAUAUCACCUUAUUAUGGCCCUCUUUUUUUUUCCCCUUGUCUCCAAAGUGUAUAAAGAAUACACACAUAAGAAUAUAGGUCACUUAUGCAGGUCUUUAAAAAGGGACCCUUAAUCUUUUAACACAUCAUUUACAGAAAACUGCUCCUGAAAUCUUUCUUUACCUAAUUGGUGGACAGAUUCCCACUCCUGCUGGGACCUGAUCCAGCUCUCUCAUAUGUCAGCACAGAGACUCUAAGUGUACAAGCAGAAGCAAUCCAUUAUUUAGCAGCUAAGCUGUUAAUACAGAUCCUUAAUGGAAAGACCAAUCAUUGGCCCUAUCAGUCUGUACCACAGGUACAUAUGUAAAAUCUUGCUGAGUCUUGUUGUGGAGGUCUGAGUAAAAGGGCUCUCCUAAAGCUGCUGCUUUGUGUGAAAUGCAGCUUAGCCAAAAGAAGAUAUUGGAAUUUCAAAACCCAGACAAAUGGCACAGUGUGGUCCUGGGUUUUCUGGGUGUUCAGUCCAUGUCAAAUGUAUUUAAGUCUAACACAUAUAAAUCCUGGUGGCACAGCUCCUGUAAGAGCUUUGAGUAAGUCUUUAGGAAGGCUUGCUUCCAGUCCUCUUUGUUUGUGAAAAGUUACAAGUGUUGGCAUGCUGUUCCCUGUGUGAUGUAUGAACAGACUUGAUUUUUGUCUUGAUCUGGUUAUCAGUUUUUUAUCAGGAUUAAGAUUACUGCUGUUUAGAUGCACAUUUUCUUGCAUACUUUGUAGCUGUGGAGUCCAGGAGUAAAUUUUUCAGUGUUUAACCUUGACCUUAUUUCUGUCUUUUCAAGUUAAUGGUGUUUGGCCAGUGCUCUUUUCCUGCCCGCUACUGUAAUCUGCCUGCUGGCUGAGGGGUGAGGUGCAGAUUGUACCUGUCAUAUACACAGCUGGAUUUCAUAAAUGAUUCACACCUAUUUUCAAACAAGUGCACUUUUCAUAAAAUUCCUUGUAGUAGGUGUUUUAUAAACUCAGCAAGCCCAAUGAAUCCAACAAUAUAAAUCAGAAAAGACCAAGGCUCUGAGGGGUUUUUUUUGACUAUGACCUUGCCUGUCCUUAAACCUAGAUUUCAAUCACAAAACCUACCUUUCCAGCUCAAACUUCUGAAACUGGAUCACAAACUCGUGGCUUUCCUCUUUCUUGUCUCAUGUUUUCCCAGAGGAUUUACUGUCAAAGUAAUUCUUGCUCUGUGCCUUUAUUUUUGUAUCCCACUGAGCUUGACUAAGGGCUCGUUUAAGGAAUUCUUUUGCCUGAGGUAUAUAAAUUUAAAUGUUUGGGUUCUGUCUAGCAGUGUUAGCAUUUCUCCUACUUCUUUUCUAAUUGUGAUAAGUGCUUAUUUAUAAUAACUGCUUAAGAAUAAUAAAGUAAUUGUUCCUGCUAGGCAGUUUUCCAAUCAGAGUCGUAAAAAUCUUGUACAGCUGCUACCAUUUUUUGGGUAAAUUCAGAAGUUAUCUAAGUACUUGUGUGAAUUUUGUAAACAUUUAAGCUGCAAAUAGAUAUCUAAAGUCAACAGCUGAGCCCAGUAGAAAGCAGCACACAUAAAACUUGGAAGGUACACUUGGUCUGGGGAGCGAUAUCAAAGUGUGCGUGACAUUUUGGAAAAUGCUGAGCAUAAACUUAUUGGGAUAAAGAGGUACAACAAAGACUGCUGGCUUGAAGAAAGUGAAUGUUCAAGAGUUGUGGUAUUAACAUAGUAAAAUCUUUAGCUCUUGCCCUGAGGAGUUGCUUUUCAUUGCUUGAAGUCUCAAGGUGGCUUCCUAUUAAGUGUCAAAAAAUGACGCUACAGGUUUCCUGCUUUGAAUUGGAAAGCAUCCUGGAUCAGAAAGGAUUGUAGGAACCUAAGCCUUUCAGUUUCUUCAGCAUAAAGCAAGUUAGCUGAUGUCUUCUAGAUGACCUCUGAUUCUUCAGUAAUUCUUCAGCAGGCUGGAGUCCCUGCUGCAAUGCCUGAGUCUCCUAGAGCAAUAACCAUUCAGAGCCACCCUUGCUACAGGUGUUAGGUAAUAUUAAAAUUCUUUUUGAGGGACCAAAAAAUCAUUCCUGCUGAAAAUAAACUGCAAUUCUUCUGUUCUAAAUAUGUGGAAUAGUGACAACAUUCACUUUUCCCAUCAUUCUUGGAGUUGUAUCAGUUUUUAAUUUAGUAUUCAUUUCAUUUGCAUGUUCCUUCUUUGUUCAAUCACUUUUUAAAUAUUAAGCCCAUUAUCUUGGUUCUCAGUCAUAUUUAAUGGACUUUUCUGUGAUUUGUUCUAUUUUAAGUACCUAUUGCCACUUCUCUUUUUUUAUGUAUCAUAUUUCCCUUAUUUUAUGUAUCAUUUCCCCUUUUUUAAUUCAUUUUACUAUGAAAUCAUUCAGAUCUUAUAAUGUGCUGCUACAUUCUUCCAUUUGUUACAGAUUGAGAAAGAGAUAUUAGAAUCAAAUUAGGUCUAGUAACUCCAUGUAUUACCUCCCUCAACCAAGAGUUUAGAGCUUUGUUCAGUUGGUCUUUACCUGCUCCUUUUUUUCCUCCAUCAAUGUCUGCUAUUUCAAAAUCCUUUUAUUUAGUGGGGAGAGGCAGCUGUAAGGCAAAAAAUAUCAAUCCAACUGAUUACUGAUUGCCUUUAAUUCGUAAAUUGUUUUUGUAUCUUGCUCAGUAGUGGAAAUAUCACAAAGAGUCACAUUAGUUGUUCAUGUCAGCUGAAUUCAAUCUGCAUUCCAUGUUCUUCAGCUCCUCCCCAAAACAUGUCAAUUCAGAAGAGUCUGUGCUGAAUGCUGUCAUUACUGUUCAACAACACUGGGAUUUGAUUUCCUGGCUUUUAUAUCUCUUUUUUCUUCAUUCAUUGAUUCCAUAAGAAUCAAAGAUGAAAAAGGGGUGGCCCAUGCUAUAAAUAUCCUAUUUUUAAGUCUUCCUUCUUUGUGUCCAUAGAAAUUGCUAUCUUCAUCCAUUCUUGGCUCUUUCAGGACUGUCAUCCUUUGAGCCACAUUCCUCACACACCUGAUGUUCCUGCUGGCUUGGGAUCCAAGUCUGCACUUCAGACUGUGUUUGUUAAGAAAAUUCCUUCACACAGACAAGUGGCAAGAAAAACACUCUGUAUGCAGGACCAAGAUGCUCACAAUUGUGUCUACCUUUCAAGGAGUCUGACUCCACAUUCCCUACCCACUGAUGUAAAUGUUUUCUUUUUAGCAUAACUUGUUUAAUUACAGCAUGAAAACAUUAGGCAUAUGUUCAAUUUCCAGUUAUUAUCAAUGUCAUUUUUUUGUUUGGUUUAUGUGCCACAAAGGUUGUUUGGGGUUUUUUUUUAAUAUCAUUUUGUUUUGACAUUCCAGGUUCUGCAUAUUUUGAGCUGUGCUGUUGCCAGUGUUCUGUGGGUGUUUGAUCCCUGGGAACCCUCUGGACUAAAUAAAUGCCUCAUCAUUCACAUUUUAUAUCUGACAUGUUCUUGAACACUUCAUUCCUUCUGAUCCAAUAUUUUGUUCUUCCUACUUUCAGACUCAGAGAGAGUCAUCCUAACUAUAAGAAUCUUUCAGGUAGCAUGAAACAUAUGUGCUAUUCAUACCCCUGUUGUGCUGUGCUGCCACAUUCCUUUGUGCUUUUCUUAGUAAAUUCUAAACACUAGUUAUUUAUUAAGAACUUUUGCUGUAACAUCUUUCACUUAUUUCUCCCCUGCCAACGUGGUUUCAAGGUGUAGGAAAUACUUAUCUGAACUCCUUUUGUCUUAAAGGUAUAUGCAAUAACCAGAAUUUCUGGCUCUGAGCCAGCCUGUGGUCCCAUAAGGCAUAGAUAGAUAGAUAGAUAGAUAGAUAGAUAGAUAGAUAGAUAGAUAGAUAGAUAGACAGAUGAUAGACAGAUAGAUAGAUAAUAGAUAUCUAAAACCAGCAUUCGUUGAAAUUGCAUAUUUGACUUAUGCUUACUGUCCUUAGAUUGAAGAGAUUAAUAUUUUGUUAAAAGAACAGCUACAUUAUUAUAUUUUUCUCAAAGUUUAUUUUUAACCUCCCUGCUAUUCCUCCAACUCAAAGUGAACUUCACAUUGGCCAAUCUUUUCUUUUGUUUUUGUCAUCCUCAAAAGAAGUACGCCAAAAGGGUGAGCAAAUGCUUGUUCACUUCAUGGUCCUUGAAUAAACAGAAUAUCUGUUGCUUCAUCAAAAACACCAGAGUAGCAGCAUCCUGAAGCGACAAACCUUGACUUUUGUGCUAGUCAGUCACUAUAAGAAAAGGCAGAAAUGAACUCUGUAAAAUUCCUGGGAGUUUCAAAAACAAGCUGCUGCUUCAAAUAGGGCAAGUUGAUUGACUUCCAUGACUUUAGUAUGUAUCUGAUACUACCUGACCUUGAGCAGGAGUACAAGCGCUGAUCAGACACCUGUGGCAAAUCUGUUCCAGGGUCUACACAGACCCUCAGUUGCUCCAGUUCAUUACACUGACUAAUUAUACCCCUUCCAAUCAUUUCUUAUUGCUUCAGUAGGUGGAGCUGUAACACGUUCAGAUUUUCCCUUGGCCAACAUGUGCCAUUGCUGGUGUGCUGAGAAGCACAGCAUCUGUCUUCCAACACUGCACAUAUUUAUCCCUUUUAUACAGAUCGGCAUCUUGCAUCAUAUUGAAAUUGCCCGUAAAAAGGAAAUUCAAGUUCUGCGCUCAUUCUGCUAGUUGGGAAAAGCAAUCAGUCUCUGUUUCUAAUAUGCAGUCAUCAGUUCUUUGAUGGCUGUUUUCUACUGCUCAAAAGAACACAAAACAUGUCUAGGCUCAAUUUUGAUAUUUUGGGUUUUGGGGAAAAAUAAUCUCUAGCACAGUAUACUUUUCUUAUUUUUCCAGUUGCUGGUUUGAAAGAGAUUCUUUGGAGCAGUGGAAAAUUCAUUAAAUCAUCUCAUUAAUUUUUUUUUCAGUUUUAGAUUCAUGUCAAAUCCACUGACAAGUGUUAGUUUUCAUGUUCUCAAGGAGUUUACUCUUUAUGUUGGCAAUGAAAGCUCUUUAAAUAAUAGGACACUACUGUAUAAAUGGACAUUUCUGAUAAUUUUUGCAAAAUUUCUCUUAAAAAUUCAGUGCUAGUGAAAAAAAGAAGAGUCUGGUAAUGAGACUAAUUCACUCUUCAAAUGUUACAGCAUCAUUUGAACAUUGUCACAUCAUCUCAAAUCAUUCUUAAUUCUAAAAACCCUUUUCCAUUUCAAUUUUCUUUGGGAAGCUUUCUGCAAAAGCAGCGAGAGUAUCCAAAUUAAUUUUAAAGAUCAUAAAAUUGCUAUUUCCUUUUAGAAGAAGAGCUGUCUUCUACAGAUCUCCUGUAUGCAAAAAUUAUCUUAAUGGUAUCUUCUUUCAUCUUAGUAUUCUCCCCUGAGCAGUUUGAGUGCUUUCUAGUUCUCUUUGGUUGCAGCUCAAUAUUUCAAGCAGGCAUCAGAAACAUUGCAGAUUUUGGCUUCUCUCCUUUGAGUUCUAAGAGCGUCUCUAAUGGGGGCUGGCUGUUCACAUCUUUUCUCAGUGCACCAUAUAACCCAGCAGUACCCACCAUUUUUCUCUACAUUUUAUUUUUCUAGGAAUUUCUAAGGUCCAGGAGUUUUUCUGCCACUUCACUGCCUUGCCCAUGCACUCCCCCAUCCCUCGACGUAUGGAGGGGCUGCUGCAGUGAGUAUCUCCAGCCUUGGCCCUUCAUCCUUUUCCUGUCUCUUGGGCACACUGCACUUCCCAGGGGCAGGAGGAAUUUAAGGGGGUUAGAGGGAUGGAGAAAGGAAGAUUCAUUUGCAUAUUUAGUGUCUCCCUUGACUAGCCUGUGUUGCCAGCUCCAGGGUUUAUAUGCCCAGCAGAGCUCAGCAGCUUGUACAUUGACAUAGCUCUUAAUUAAGGUGUGCAUGCCAUACAAAUCUCUAGUAUAAACAAGGACUAGAAAAGAAACAAUCUCUCAUAAAAUACCUGCUUUUUCUUGUUAGCUCUUGUACAAGAUUUUUCAUGAUCUCUAACAGCAAUUGUACAUUCAUUUUCAGCUUGAAAUAUAGCUGUCCCAUUUGGAAAAUGUAAUUAUCGACACUUGUGUUAUCCAAGACACUUUAUUUGUCUAAUCAGCUGAGUUGUCAAGUUGAGUUAGCAAAUCCAUUUGUAUGAAUUACACAGAAGCUUGCAGCCCUGAUGUAUCAGUUUAUGAUAUAUAUUGGUACAUGUGCUGGAUAGUCUGGAUACAGAGAUUAUGAUUCCUUUGCCACAGUCCUGUGCAAUUCAUCAUACACAAAUACUCUUGCAAAUCCCUGUGAAAAUAGUAUCACAGAGAUGAGGAAAAACUUGUGGAUUUUAUAUUGGAGUUGGGUGGUAGACAGCAUUUUGAGGAACUUGCUUAACAUUAUAGCUAGCAGGUGCUGUGCACUGUAGAGCCAUGUGCUAUUGCUUUGUCAGAAGGUAAAUUGGUCAAAACUGUGGUAAUGCAUUACACAGGCCUCAAUGUAUUAAGAAAUAUUGUAUGUGCUUGCAACUGUCUUGAGGGGUCUGUAAAAUCCACCCGUUGAAGAAAAGAUUAUAAAGAUUUGCUGUACUCCUUCAUAACAUGUAUCCUUUCACUUCAAUCAUCAAUAAAAAGGCUGCAGUAAAUGAAGUUAAAAGGCAGAAAUGUAGCUGAAGAUUGAUAUGCAGAAUCAACCUCCUAGCACUGUUUUGUUACAUUGUGUGCACUCUCACAUUGCGGUUUAGUGCGUGCUUGUGGUUUACAAAGGUGAGCUAAGCUUAACUAACAUUAAAACUCAGUAACAUUUUCUUGAGAAUCUUCACACUUCGUUCAUAAAUCUGUAUACUUUCAGACUGUUUAAAAGCUGUAUCAACAGUGAUAAGGGAUCACUGUUUAGGGUACCUUCUUCUGGAGAAGAAUCUUCCUUAUCAAGCAAGACUGUAGUGAUUGCUCUUGGAACUGCUAAGUUCAAAAGGACAUGAGAAAGGUCCAGCGUAAAGCAUAAACAGAAAAAUGAAAAUUUGCAAAAUAUGUCAGUUUGUUAAUGCAUAGAGUUCUUCUGUAUAUUUUCAGUUAAAAAAAUAAAAGCAAACUUUUCGCUUUGAUCAACUGAUUUCUCCAUGGCAAUGUACCUGAAUUUUAAUAGAUGCAAUGAACAACUGCUUCUUCUGUGGAAGCACAUGUAUUUUCUUUUUUCUUUCCCCAUCACUUUUCUCAUCCUGAAAAAAAAAUACAAACAAAAAACCCCAACAAACCAAAACCAUAACAAAACCCAAAAGUACCUUUUUGAGAUGAACACUUCAUGUGUGGAGACUCGUGGCUUGACUCCGUUUUCUCAGAAGGCUGAUUCAUUAUCUUAUGAUAUAUACUAUAUUAAAAUACUACAUAAAAACUAUGCUAAAAGAACAGAGAGAAAAGAUUGAUCAGAAGGCUAGAAGGAACAAGAACAGAAUAGAAUGCAUAACAAAAUGUGACUGCUCACAGCCUCGGCACAGGUGGCUGUGAUUGGUCAUCAAAAGAAAACAAUCCACAUGGACCAAUGGAAGAUGCACCUCUUGCAUCCAACAGCAGCAGAUAGUUAUUGUUUACAUUUCUCUCCUGAGACUCUCAGCGCCUCAGGAGGGGGAAAAUCCUAGCAAAGGAUUUUUCAUAAAAUAUCAUGGUGACAGUACAUUUCUUUGAAAUGUGUAUAUCUCUCUCUAUGUAUAUAUAUACAUAUGCACA